rnacentral:rRNA from 1 species
UAAGGAAUAUUGGUCAAUGGGCGGAAGCCUGAACCAGCCAUGCCGCGUGCAGGAAGACGGCCCUACGGGUUGUAAACUGCUUUUAUACGGGAAUAAACCUUGAUACGUGUAUCGAGCUGAAUGUACUGUAAGAAUAAGGAUCGGCUAACUCCGUGCCAGCAGCCGCGGUAAUACGGAGGAUCCAAGCGUUAUCCGGAUUUAUUGGGUUUAAAGGGUGCGUAGGUGGCCUGGUAAGUCAGGGGUGAAAGACGGUAGCUUAACUAUCGCAGUGCCUUUGAUACUGCCGGGCUUGAAUGAACUAGAGGUAGGCGGAAUGUGACAAGUAGCGGUGAAAUGCAUAGAUAUGUCACAGAACACCGAUUGCGAAGGCAGCUUACUAUGGUUUUAUUGACACUGAGGCACGAAAGCGUGGGGAUCAAACAG